rnacentral:rRNA from 1 species
UGACGUUGGAUUACCAGUGAGCGGCGGACGGGCUGAGUAACACGUGGGCAACCUGCCCUGAAGUGGGGGAUAACAUCUGGAAACAGGUGCUAAUACCGCAUAACAACGAAAACCACAUGGUUUUCGUUUCAAAGAUGGUUUCGGCUAUCGCUUCAGGAUGGGCCCGCGGUGCAUUAGCUAGUUGGUAAGGUAACGGCUUACCAAGGCAAUGAUGCAUAGCCGAGUUGAGAGACUGAUCGGCCACAAUGGAACUGAGACACGGUCCAUACUCCUACGGGAGGCAGCAGUAGGGAAUCUUCCACAAUGGGCGUAAGCCUGAUGGAGCAACACCGCGUGAGUGAAGAAGGGUUUCGGCUCGUAAAGCUCUGUUGUUGGAGAAGAACGUGCGUGAGAGUAACUGUUCACGCAGUGACGGUAUCCAACCAGAAAGUCACGGCUAACUACGUGCCAGCAGCCGCGGUAAUACGUAGGUGGCAAGCGUUAUCCGGAUUUAUUGGGCGUAAAGCGAGCGCAGGCGGUUGCUUAGGUCUGAUGUGAAAGCCUUCGGCUUAACCGAAGAAGGGCAUCGGAAACCGGGCGACUUGAGUGCAGAAGAGGACAGUGGAACUCCAUGUGUAGCGGGUGGAAUGCGUAGAUAUAUGGAAGAACACCAGUGGCGAAAGGCGGCUGUCUGGUCUGCAACUGACGCUGAGGCUCGAAAGCAUGGGGUAGCGAACAGGAUUAGAUACCCUGGUAGUCCAUGCCCGUAAACGAUG